rnacentral:rRNA from 1 species
AGGGAAUCUUCCGCAAUGGACGAAAGUCUGACGGAGCAACGCCGCGUGAGUGAUGAAGGUUUUCGGAUCGUAAAGCUCUGUUGCCAGGGAAGAACGUCCGUUAGAGUAACUGCUAACGGAGUGACGGUACCUGAGAAGAAAGCCCCGGCUAACUACGUGCCAGCAGCCGCGGUAAUACGUAGGGGGCGAGCGUUGUCCGGAAUUAUGGGGCGUAAAGCGCGCGCAGGCGGCUGUUUAAGUCUGGUGGUGAAGCCUGGGGCUCAACCCCGGGUCGCACUGGAAACUGGACAGCUUGAGUGCAGAAGAGGAGAGUGGAAUUCCACGUGUAGCGGUGAAAUGCGUAGAGAUGUGGAGGAACACCAGUGGCGAAGGCGACUCUCUGGGCUGUAACUGACGCUGAGGCGCGAAAGCGUGGGGAGCAAAC